UACGUAGGGUGCAAGCGUUGUUCGGAUUUAUUGGGCGUAAAGGGUCCGCAGGGGGUCCGCCAAGUCUGAUGUGAAAUCCCGAGGCUCAACCUCGGAACUGCAUUGGAAACUAGCAGACUAGAGUAUUGGAGAGGUAAGUGGAAUUUCUGGUGGAGCGGUGGAAUGCGUAGAUAUCAGAAAGAACACCGAGAGCGAAGGCAGCUUACUGGACAAUUACUGACCCUCAGGGACGAAAGCAUGGGUAGCAAACAGG
rnacentral:rRNA from 1 species